AAGUAUGUGCUAUUUAUAGCGCUAGCCUACAAACCUAUAAUUAUAUUAACUCUAAGAGAAAUUUAAUAAUAAACGAAGUGAAUUGAAAUAUCUUAGUAACUUUAGGAAAAGAAAUCAAAAGAGAUUCUAUGAUUAGCGUGAGCUAAAAUAGACUAGCCUAAAAAGUCAAAUGGUGGAUAAACUGUUUAAAUUAAAUGGGGAACCUUCCUCAAAGGCUAAAUAUAAUAUAUAAGCGAUAGUGGAAAGUACCGUGAGGGAACCAAAACAAAAACAGUGAUUUUAUAAGCAGUUCGGGAAAAUAAAAAAAGUUAGAACGUACCUUUUGCAUAAUGGGUCACCAAGUUAACAUUAGAUGCGAGUAGGAGGGAGCUUUAUAAAAAAAAAAUAUAUAUUUUUUUUUUAUAGCCCCGUGCAUACGUAGUUAAACCGAGCGUUAAAAUAACGGUAAGUAUCUAAAGUUAGACCCGAAGCCUGGUGAUUUUACCAUAAUCAGGAUUAUAAAAGUCCGAACGGAAUAUUGUAGCAUAAAUAUCCGAAGAAUUAUGGUAGGUGUAGUGAAAGACAAUACUGACCAGGAUAGCUGGUUUUCUGCGAAACCUAUAACAGUAGGCAAUUUAAGUAUAAUAUCUUAGCAGGUACAGAAUUUAAUCUCAGACAAGACAUAAGGCUUAGCUUGCUAGCAAGUAAAGCUCAUGUUUUAUUUUGUACAAAUUGGGGGAUCAUGAAGAUUUUAUCAGUGAGUAUGUAGACUCGGAAUGGCAAAGAUAUAUCUUAAAUCAUCAGACAUAGAAUGAUAAGGUUGUAUGUCAAAAGGGAAACAGCCCAGAACAAGAGUUAAGGUUCCUAAAUUAUUAGUUGAGUGAAAUUAAGAAGGUUUUUAUUAAAGUCGACAAGGAGAUAGGCUUAGAAGCAGCCAUAAUUUUAUGACCUCGUAACAGAGCGCUUGGUUAAGUUUUAAAAGCAUCGAAAAUUUAUCGGAUCUAAACAAUAUACCGAAACCUUGUCCAUAUUAUUUUAUAAUUAAAGCUUAAUUAUAAUUAAAUGGGGUAGCAGAACGUUGAGCUAAAUUAAGAUUUUUAUUUUUUAAAUGAAAUUAUAAUAAUUUAACUCAAGUGAUAAUGGUGACAUGAGUAACUAAAAGAAAAAAUAAAAUUUUUCCGCCUAAAGCUUAUGGAUGUAAUUAAGUAACGGCCUCUAAGUUUAUAUUAUCUAAAGAUUUAAACGAUGAGAUAAUCUUUUGUACUAAGGACGACAUUUUAAGUGAAAAAUGUACUGGAAAAAUAGUACUAAAUUAAUGGCUAUAGCUAAUUAGGGCUAUAGCUAUAAAUGAAAAGUAACCGUACCUAGAAUCUGAAACAAGUAAGCUAGUAGAGAAUACGAAGGCGUAAAUGAGCUAACAAUCAUAAAGGAACUCGGCAAAUUGACUACCGUAACUUCGGGAUAAGGAGAGCUCAUUAUUCUUGAUUAAUAUCAGGUAAAGAGGAAGAAGCAUGAAAUAGUGUUGUACGACUGUUUAAUUAAAACACAGCACUUUGCUGAAAGAUUAAAAAUCUAAGUAUAGAGUGUGAUGUCUGCCCGGUGCCGGCUGGUUAACAGAUAUAAUUAAAUAUACUAAUAUUUGAUGUAGACGGAAACCCCGGUUAAAGGCGGCCUUAACGUGAGGGUCCUAAGGUAGCGAAAUGCCUUGGCCGUUAAAUGCGGUCUUGCAUGAAUGAUGUAACGAUACAACAGCUGUCUCUAUGAUUGACUCAGUGAAAUUG
rfam:Fusarium verticillioides 7600 cont3.211 mitochondrial, whole genome shotgun sequence.